rnacentral:rRNA from 1 species
GUAGGUGGGGUAACGGCUCACCUAGGCGACGAUCCCUAGCUGGUCUGAGAGGAUGACCAGCCACACUGGAACUGAGACACGGUCCAGACUCCUACGGGAGGCAGCAGUGGGGAAUAUUGCACAAUGGGCGCAAGCCUGAUGCAGCCAUGCCGCGUGUAUGAAGAAGGCCUUCGGGUUGUAAAGUACUUUCAGCGGGGAGGAAGGGAGUAAAGUUAAUACCUUUGCUCAUUGACGUUACCCGCAGAAGAAGCACCGGCUAACUCCGUGCCAGCAGCCGCGGUAAUACGGAGGGUGCAAGCGUUAAUCGGAAUUACUGGGCGUAAAGCGCACGCAGGCGGUUUGUUAAGUCAGAUGUGAAAUCCCCGGGCUCAACCUGGGAACUGCAUCUGAUACUGGCAAGCUUGAGUCUCGUAGAGGGGGGUAGAAUUCCAGGUGUAGCGGUGAAAUGCGUAGAGAUCUGGAGGAAUACCGGUGGCGAAGGCGGCCCCCUGACGAAGACUACG